CCUACGGGUGGCAGCAGUGGGGGAUAUUGCUCAAUGGGGGGAACCCUGAUGCAGCAACGCCGCGUGGGGGAAGAAGGGUUUCGGCGCGUAAAGCCCUAUUGGCAGGGAAGAAAAUGACGGUACCUGACCAAUAAGCCCCGGCUAACUACGUGCCAGCAACCGCGGUAAUACGGAGGGGGCAAGCGUUAUUCGGAUUUACUGGGCGUAAAGGGGGCGCAGGCGGCAUAGCAAGCCAGGAGUGAAAUCCUCGGGCCCAACCCCAGAACUGCAUUUGAAACUGCAUGGCUCGAGUAUAGGAGUGGUAGGCGGAAUUCUUGGUGUAGCGGUGAAAUGCGUAGAGAUCAGGAGGAACACCGAUUGCGAAGGCGGCCUGCUGGACCGUGACUGACGCUGAUGCACGAAGGCGUGGGGAGCAAACAGGAUUAGAUACCCGUGUAGUC
rnacentral:rRNA from 1 species